rnacentral:lncRNA from 1 species
UUUGAUAUAUUUUAAGACUCUGUAUGCUGCUUUCAUUUGUGAUUCAGUUGGUGUUGCCAUGUGUUGGCUUAGAUAUGUUACAGCAUAGGAGAUGUCUGGUCUUGUGCAUGUUAGGUAUACUAGUUUUCCUACUAUGCUUCUAUAUUUUUGUGGAUCCUCUAGUAUGGUUUCAUUGUCUUUUAUUUUGUUUGAUUGCAUUGGAGUUUUAUUAAAAAAAUCAUUGUUAUUAGGGCAAUCUGUAAUUCUGUUUGUUUUAUGUUUGGAUAUUUGUUUGUGACUGUUUGGAGUUCUAUUUGGUUUACAUUAUGUGAGUUCAUAUUUUUCCAGUAAAUCUAAUGUGUAUUUUCUCUGACCAAUGUAUAAACCAUUUGGUGUUUUGGUGAACUCGAGUCCUAGAAAAUAUUUAAGUUCUCCAAGGUCUUUAAUUUUAAAGAUUCCUUGGAGAUUUUCUUUUAGAGUUUUAAUUGUGUUUAUGUUGUUGCCUGUGAUAAGUAGGUCAUCAACAUAUGCUAAGACAAUUGUAGUAUCUUGUUUGUUUUUGUUUAUAAACAGAGAGUAGUCUGUUUUGCAUUGCUUGUAUCCAAGGUUGGAUAAGGCAUUUGAUAGAGUUUGGUACCAAACUCUUGAUGCUUGCUUUAGGCCAUAUAGUGAUUUGUUUAGUUUGCAGAUGGGGUUAUGUGGUGCAUUUUUGGGUAAUUCUAAUCCCAAUGGGAUUUUCAUGUAUAUGGUUUCUUCUAAGUUUCCGUGUAGAAAGGCAUUUUGGACAUCCAUUUGGUGCAUGUCCCAUUUUUGUGCUACUGCUAUAGCUAUGACAGUCCUUAAGGUUGUCAUUUUGGAUACAGGAGCAAAUGUUUCAUUGAAGUCAAUGCCUUCAAUUUGGUUGUAGCCUUUUGCUACUAGUCUAGCUUUAUAUUUUUCAAUGUUUCCAUCACUGUUAAAUUUGGUUUUGUAGACCCAUUUGCAUCCAAUGGGGUUUUUAUCAUUUGGCAUGCUUGUGAUGGUCCAUCUUUGGUUAUGUUCAAGAGCCUGUAGUUCUUGCUUCAUGGCAUUGUUCCAUUUUGUGUGUUUGGAUGCUUCAUUGUAGGAAGUGGGAUCUAAGUUCUUUAUUGUUGUUAAGAAUGCAGAGUGUUCAGGGGUAAAGUUUUGAGAAGAAAGCAUGUUCUCAAUGGGAUGUCUAGUGGAUGCUGCUUGUAGAGAGAAAUCUUUUAAGUAUGAUGGUGUUUUCCUAUUUCUUUUUGGUCUUGGUGCAUCCUCUUCUGGGAUGCUUGGUGCAUUCUCUGUUUCAUGUUGUAUCUUUGGGAUCAUUGGUGCAUCUUCUUCUUGUGAAGGGGGUGUGAGUGUGUAUGUGUUUUCCUUUGAUUUGUUGUCUGUUUCUGAUGUAUCAAAAAUGUUCUCUUGAUACUGUUCUGUUUGUUCUUUGAAGGGGAAUAUGUCUUCAAAGAAAAUUACAUCUCUAUUUGUAAAAAUUUCUUGAGUGGAUAUAUCUAGUAUGUUAUAUCAUUUCCUUUGAGGAGAAUAUCCAAUGAAUAUUCCCUUUAUUGAUCUGUUUUCAAAUUUUGAUUUUAUUGUUUGUGGCAUAGCAUAAACACCCAAACACUUUUAGGAUGUCUAAAUUUGGUUGUUCUCCAAAUAGCCUAAAAAAUGGGGUUUCAUUAUCUAAUACUACAGCUGGGGUCCUGUUUAUCAGGAAGACAUCUGUUGUGAUGCAUUCCCCCCAAUACUUUAGGGGAAUGUUGGAUUGAAUCAUUAGUGACCUAGCCACUUGUAGUAUGUGUUGAUGUUUCCUUUCGACUCUCCUAUUUUGUUGUGGGGUAUAUGGGCAUGACAGUUGGUGAGCUAUACCAUCUGUUUUAAUUAUGUUUUGAAAUUCUUUGGAUAAGAAUUCUGUACCAUUGUCUGACCUUAUGGUAUGGACAGUGCUUUGGUGUUGGUUUUUGAUAUCUGUCAGGAAUUGUUUGAAUUUGGUGGAUGUUUAUGAUUUAUUUAUCAUUAGGAAGACCCAAGUUGCUCUAGAGUAAUCAUCCACUAUGGUUAGGAAAUAGUUAUUUCCUUGAUGCGUAGGUGUGUGGAAUUUUUCCCAUAUGUCCAAAUGUAAUAAUUGAAAACACCUUGUCGUUUUAUUUGAACUUAGAGAAAAAGGGAGCUUUGUCUGUUUGGACAGUGGGCAUGUAUUACAAAAUUUUUUAAAAUUCUUUGGAAUACAUUUGUUUAUGAUAUUGAAAUGAUAAAAUCUAGAUGGUACUGGGUGUCCUAGUCUCUGGUGCCAUAUCUCUUCAUCCUUUGUUUCCUUCUGUUAGCUAUGAUUGGCCUGAUUGUCAUGCUUUAGGAUGUAGAGUCCAUUUUUCUUCUCACCCUCACCAAUCCGGUUUCCCUGUUGGUUCUGUAUAGAACAGAAAGUAGGGUGGAAGGUGAAUGAGCAUUUUAUAUCUUUUGUUAAUUGGCUUACAGAGAGUAGGUUGACUGAGAAGGAUGGGAUUUUUAAGACAUUGUUUAAGGUAAUGUCUUUUGUAAUUUGUGUGGAGCCACUAACUGAAACUUUAGUGGUUUGUGAGUUUAGGAGACGAAUAUUUAUGGGGUAUAGUAAAUUCUUUUCAUUGUUUAAGCUGGUGUUGGGGGCACACAUGUGGUCUGUUGCCCCUGUGUCAAUGAUCCACUGAUCAUUUUGUGAUUGGGUGCAUGCUGUGGUGUUUAGUGAGUAAUGUGGAUUAAAGCAUGUGUUGUUUUUAUAGUAAAACAUACCAGAUGUGCUCCCAGACAUGUGAGCUUGUGGCUGAUUUCCCUUUUGGAUUCCUCCCUGGGAGAGUAUGGAGAUCAGCUCUUCUCUGGUGAUGAAAUUUCCUGUAGUCUGUGGAUUCUCAGAAGUUUGGGCUUCAUCUUCUGUGUUGGCAUUGUUGCUUUGGUACUUUUUGUACCCUUUGUUGGGUUUGUAGCUUUUCUUGCUGUUGUACCUUGUGGAAUUUUCUUUUCUUUUGUUAAAAUCCACCCCAUGGAGUCCAUGGCCUGGUGGGAAACCAUGUUCAUAGAAACAGUUUUCUAUGCUGUGAUUGUGUUUCUUGCAUCUUGUGCAGUAUGGUUUAGAGUCUUCACUUUGAUUUUGUGGUUUUGGUGUGAAGUUGUUCUUAGAUUGUGUAGCCAAGGCAGUUCCUUCUUCAGGAUAGACACAUUCUCUUUGUGUCUCUUCUUGAAGUACCAUUCUGAAGGCAUCAUCCACAGAUGGAGGAGUCUUCUUUUUGAGUAUUUGGCCUCUUAUUGAUAGAAAAGUAUCAUUUAGGCCGGUUGUGAAGGUGAUCAACCUGUCCAUAUUCUCCUUCUUAAUGCAGUUAGGGUUGUCACAACAUUCAAAGAUCUGAUUGUUGUCCAAUUCAUUCCACAGGCCUUGCAACUUUGCAUAGUAGUUGCUGACAGAUUCACUUCCUUGAGUGCACAAUGCAAUCUGCCUUUUUAGUUGUGAAAUGACCAGUGAAUUUGCCCUGCUAUAUUUCUGUUUGAGGUUCUCCCAGAGGGUGGUGGCAUCCUUUAUGAAGAUUACACUUCCUCUGAUUUCCUUUGAACAGCUGUUGAGUAUCCAUGCAGUGACCAGGUCAUUACAUCUGGUCCAAGGGGUGUAGUAGCUGUCUGUGUUGUUGGUUGGUUUGGUGAUGGAUCCAUUUAUGAAUCCCAUCUUAUUUUUGGUAGACAGUGAUCUUUGGAUCUCUACCACCCAUGUCUGAUAAUUUGGUCCACUAAGUGGAGUUGUAACCAGGCCUAAGCUUGGGUUGUCACUUCCUGAUAUGUAGUAUGGGCUUCCAUCCUUUAUCUUUAGCUCAUCAAUUUUUGUUUCCAUUUGCAGAUAGAAAUGAAAGGAGAGCAAAAAGACUGAUGAGAAGGCACACCAGGAAUCUCAGGAGAAUGAGAGAGCUGAGAAGACAAAAUAUGGAUGUGGAGGCUCUUGAGUAUUUUGGCGAUGUGGAAGAUGUGUACUCUUCCUCUGAUUCUGAGUAUGAGAGGCCUGUUCCUGUGUAGGAUCUUGAUUUUCCCUCAGACAGUGAUGGUGAGGAUGGUGUGGUGUGUCAACAGUAUUAUUAUGAUUUCGAUAGUGAUGACUCUAUGCCUGAUUAUGAGAUAUGGAGUGAUCCAGAUGUGGGUCUGAAUUCUGAGGGAGAGAAGGCCAAUGGUGUUUUGGCUGUGGAGAUUCCACUACCUCCUCGUCCUCCUCAAGAAUUCUUUGACAAUAUCUGGAGGAAUAGAGUUGUUUUUGAUGACUGAGACUUGGUUAACUGUCCCCUUUUUUGUUUAAAGCAGCUUGCUCUUUUUGGUGUGGUGACUGUUUCUUUUCUCUUUAUAGUUUCCUUUUUGUAGAGAAAGAAAAAAAAUACUAG